UGGGGGAUAUUGCACAAUGGGCGAAAGCCUGAUGCAGCGACGCCGCGUGGGGGAUGAAGGCCUUCGGGUUGUAAACUUCUUUUGCUCUGAACAAGGCGCACCAUGGGGUGUGUUGAGUGUAGGGGUUGAUUAGCGCCGGCUAACUACGUGCCAGCAGCCGCGGUAAUACGUAGGGCGCGAGCGUUGUACGGAAUUAUUGGGCGUAAAGGGCUUGUAGGUGGCUGGUUGCGUCUGUCGUGAAAGCUCAUGGCUUAACUGUGGGUUUGCGGUGGGUACGGGCUGGCUUGAGUGCAGUAGGGGAGGCUGGAAUUCCUGGUGGAGCGGUGGAAUGCGCAGAUAUCAGGAGGAAUACCGGUGGCGAAGGCGGGUCUCUGGGCUGUUACUGACACUGAGGAGCGAAAGCAGGGGGAGCGAACAGG
rnacentral:rRNA from 1 species